AAAACCUAAUGGUCACAUUAUUUGCUAAAUCGGUCUGACCGAGUCUUUUGAAUCGGUCCCACCGAGUUUGGUAAAUUGUGUGUAACGGUUAGAUUUUGUCUGGAGGCUAUAUAUACCCCUCUACCUCCUCUUCAUUCGUGGAGAGAGCCAUCAGACUGAACCUACACUUCCUAAUUACCAUUUCUGAGAGAGAACCACCUACUCAUGUGUUGAGGCCAAGAUAUUCCAUUCCUACCAUAUGAAUCUUGAUCUCUAGCCUUCCCCAAGUUGCUUUCCACUCAAAUCUUCUUUCCACUAGAUACAAAACCUAUGAGAGAGAGUUGAGUGUUGGGGAGACUAUCAUUUGAAGCACAAGAGCAAGGAGUUCAUCAUUAACGCACCAUUUGUUACUUUUUGGAGAGUGGUGUCUCCUAGAUUGGCUAGGUGUCACUUGGGAGCCUCCGACAAGAUUGUGGAGUUGAACCAAGGAGUUUGUAAGGGCAAGGAGAUCACCUACUUCGUGAAGAUCUACCGCUAGUGAGGCAAGUCCUUCGUGGGCGACGACCAUGGUGGGAUAGACAAGGUUGCUUCUUCGUGGACCCUUCAUGGGUGGAGCCCUCUGUGGACUCGCGCAACUGUUACCCUCCGUGGGUUGAAGUCUCCAUCAACGUCGAUGUACGAUAGCACCACCUAUCGGAACCACGCCAAAAACAUCUGUGUCUCCAAUUGCGUUUGAAUCCUCUAAAACCCUUCCCUUUACAUUCUUGCAAGUUGCAUGCUUUACUUUCCGCUGCUCAUAUACUCUUUGCAUGCUUGCUUGAUAUGUAUCGUGAAUGUUAAACUUGUGACUAAACUCCACUUAAACUUUAAGGAAACUUAAAAACUGCAACUUUGUCACGUAGUGUCUAAUCACCCCCCCCCCCCACCCUCUAGACACCUCUUCUCAAGGUCCUACAAGUGGUAUCAGAGCAUUGGUCUCCAUUGCCUUGGUUUAAUCACCAUUGGAGGAAGAUGGAUGAGUCUACUUUGGGGAGUCUUAGACAUAGAGUGCCUAUUCUUGAUGGAGAGUAUUUUCAUGAGUGGAAAAAUGAGAUGCUUGUAAUUUUCAAUCAAUAUCAUUUAAACAAGUACAUUGCUAGCCCUUGUGCACCUCAUGUUGAUCCUAUGCAUCCUACUCUUGAUGAGUCAAUUGACAUGAUUAGGAAUCUUAGAACUGUUAACCUUAUCACUAGAGGCUUGCCUAGAAACUUGAUUAUAAACUUGCCUACUCUUGAGUGUGCCUACACUAUAUGGAAAUUUCUUGAGGAACGAUUUCCAGAUUAUUCCUUGAAAAAUCUAGAUGAAAUUCUCCAUAAGUCUAUUGCCUUGAGUAAGAUGAAUACUAGUGAUCCUAUGUUUGGUGAUCGUCUAUUUGAACUUACAAACCUUAUGCGUGCCAAAGGAGAUGUUGGAGUUAUUAGUGAUCUUAUCUCCGAAGCUAUAAAAAUUCAUAAACAAGAUCAUUGUCAAACUCACUCUAACGAAUCACCCUCUCUAGGAUUUGAUCCACCACAUGACGAUGUUGAACAUGGAUACUAUGAUGAGGAUGAUGAUAGUGACUUCGAUCUUGAUGAUGCAAUGAGACACUUUGGUCUUAUGGCAAAUCUUCGGGGAUAUAUGUCAGGAGGAAAGGAAUGGGUUCUUGAUAGUGGAUGUACCGAUCACAUGACCGGAGAUAAAGACAUGUUUCGUGAGCUUGCUGAUAAUGAUAGUCCUCGAAAGUAUGUCACUUUUGGUGACAACUCAAAGGGUAAGGUGGGUGGCCUCGGUAAGGUGGCCAUAUCACAUGAUAGCUCCAUACAAAAUGUCAUGCUCGUUGAAUCUCUUGGAUACAACUUACUUUCAGUAUCUAGACUUGCUGAUUUUGGUUUCAAUGUCCUAUUUACUGAAGUAGAUUGGCAAGUGUUUCGUCGAGACAAUCAUAAAAUGGUCUUUACCGGUAUACAUAGAGGUGAUCUAUACAUUGUUGAAUUCACUAAAAAGGCUCAACCUAAAACUUGCUUCAUUGCUAAAUCCUCAAAAGGUUGGUUAUGGCAUAGAUGACUAGGUCAUGUUGGUAUGCGAAACCUUGACAAGCUUAUUAAAGGGAAUCAUAUCCUUGGAGUUAAUGAUGUCAUAUUUGAUAAGGAUAGACUUUGCACUGCUUGUCAAGCAGGUAAACAGGUUGGAGGAAGGCAUCCCGUGAAGAACAUCAUGACCACAAGGAGGCCACUCGAGCUACUUCAUAUGGAUCUCUUUGGUCCCAACUCUUACAAGAGUCUCGCUGGAAAUUCUUUUGGUCUAGUUAUAGUUGAUGAUUUUUCCAGAUUUACAUGGGUGUUCUUUCUCGAUGAUAAAUCGCAGGUCCAAAAGAUCUUCAAAAACUUUGCUAGGAAGGCCCAAAAUCAAUUUCAAGUGAAGAUCAAGAAGGUUCGCAGCGACAAUGGAACGGAGUUCAAGAACGCAAAUGUGCACACCUUUCUUGAUGAAGAAGGGAUUUCACACGAGUUCUCGUCUACGUACACACCUCAACAAAAUGGAGUUGUUGAGAGGAAGAACCGGACGCUCAUCGAAAUGGCGAGAACGAUGCUUGAUGAGUACAAGACACCGAAGCACUUUUGGGCAGAAGCGGUUGAGACAACUUGUCAUGCAACAAAUCGCUUGUAUCUUCACAAGCUACUCGGUAAGACGGCAUACGAGCUCCUCACCGGUAACAAACCCCAAGUUGGAUACUUUCGAGUAUUCGGCUCAAAGUGCUACAUUCUUGAUAAACAUCGUCGUUCUAAAUUUGCUCCUAAGUCUCAUGAAGGUUUCCUACUAGGUUAUGGAUCAAACUCUCACACUUACCGUGUCUACAACAAUUUCACCCGAAAGGUUGAAGAGACGGUAGAUGUGAAGUUUGAUGAAUCUAACGGCUCGCAAGUCGAGCAAUUUCCAAUUGAUGUAGGAGACAAAGAUCCUUCGGAAGCAAUCCAAGACUUGUCUAUUGGCAAGGUUCGUCCAACGGAGGUGAAGGAGAGUACCUCAUCCGUCCAAGUGGAAGCUUCUACUUCACUGUUGGAAAUAUGCCCUAGAGGCAAUAAUAAAUUAGUUAUUAUUAUUAUUAUAUUUCCUUGUUCAUGAUAAUCAUUUAUUAUCCAUGCUAUAAUUGUAUUGAUAGGAAAAUCAUAUACAUGUGUGGGUACAUAGACAACACCAUGUCCCUAGUAAGCCUCUAGUUGACUAGCUCGUUGAUCAAUAGAUGGUUACGGUUUCCUGACCAUGGACAUUGGAUGUCGUUGAUAACGGGAUCACAUCAUUAGGAGAAUGAUGUGAUGGACAAGACCCAAUCCUAAGCCUAGCACAGAGAUCGUGUAGUUCGUAUGCUAAAGCUUUUCUAAUGUCAAGUAUCUUUUCCUUAGACCAUGAGAUUGUGCAACUCCCGGAUACCGUAGGAAUGCUUUGGGUGUACCAAACGUCACAACGUAACUGGGUGGCUAUAAAGGUGCACUACAGGUAUCUCUGAAAAUGUAUGUUGGGUUGGCACGAAUCGAGACUGGGAUUUGUCACUCCGUUUGACGGAGAGGUAUCUCUGGGCCCACUCGGUAGGACAUCAUCAUAAUGUGCACAAUGUGAUCAAAUAGUUGGUCGCGGGAUGAUGUGUUACGGAACGAGUAAAGAGACUUGCCGGUAACGAGAUUGAACAAGGUAUCGGCAUACCAACGAUCGAAUAUCGGGCAAGUACAAUAACGCUAGACAAAGGGAAUUGUAUACGGGAUUGAUUGAGUCCUUGACAUCGUGGUUCAUCCGAUGAGAUCAUCGUGGAACAUGUGGGAGCCAACAUGGGUAUCCAGAUCCCGCUGUUGGUUAUUGACCGGAGAACGUCUCGGUCAUGUCUGCAUGGUUCCCGAACCCGUAGGGUCUACACACUUAAGGUUCGAUGACGCUAGGGUUAUAAAGGAAGUUUGUAUGUGGUUACCGAAUGUUGUUCGGAGUCCCGUAUGAGAUCCCGGACGUCACGAGGAGUUCCGGAAUGGUCCGAAGGUAAAUAUUUAUAUAUGGGAAGUCUUGUUUUGGUCGCCGGAAAAGUUUCGUGCAUUAUCGGUAUUGUACCAGGAGUGCCGAAAGGGGUCCGGGGGUCCACCAGGGGUCCACCUGCCCCGGGGGGGGGCACAUGGGCUGUAGGGGUGUGCGCCUUCGCCUAUAUGGGCCAAGGGCACCAGCCCCAAGAGGCCCAUGCGCCAAGAGAUAAGGGAAAGGGAGAGUCCUAAAAGGGGAAGGCACCUCCUAGGUGCCUUGGGGAGGAUAGACUCCUCCCUAGCUGCACCCUUCCUUGGAGGAAGGGCCAAGGCUGCGCCCCCCCCCCCCUCUCCCUUGCCCCUAUAUAUAGUGGAGGGGAGGGAGGGCAGCCGCACCUGAAGCCCUGGCGCCUCCUUCCCUCCCGUGACACCUCCUCCUCUCCCGCAGGUGCUUGGCGAAGCCCUGCAGGAUUGCCACGCUCCUCCACCACCACCACGCCGUUGUGCUGCUGCUGGAUGGAGUCUUCCUCAACCUCUCCCUCUCUCCUUGCUGGAUCAAGGCAUGGGAGACGUCACCGGGCUGUACGUGUGUUGAACGCGGAGGUGCCGUCCAUUCGGCACUAGGAUCUCUGGUGACUUGGAUCACGACGAGUACGACUCCUUCAACCCCGAUCUCUUGAACGCUUCCGCUUAGCGAUCUACAAGGGUAUGUAGAUGCACUCUCCUUCCCCUCGUUGCUGGUUUCUCCAUAGAUAGAUCUUGGUGACACGUAGGAAAAUUUUGAAUUUCUGCUGCGUUCCCCAACAGUGGCAUCAGAGCUAGGUCUAUUGCGUAGAUUCUUUGCACGAGUAGAACACAAAGUAGUUGUGGGCGUUGAUUUUGUUCAAUAUGCUUACCGUUACUAGUCCAAUCUUGUUUCGACGGUAUUGUGGGAUGAAGCGGCCCGGACCGACCUUACACGUACACUUACGUGAGACAGGUUCCACCGACUAACAUGCACUUGGUGCAUAAGAUGGCUAGCGGGUGCCAGUCUCUCCCACUUUAGUCGGAACGGAUUCGAUGAAAAGGGUCCUUAUGAAGGGUAAAUAGCAAUUGGCAUAUCAUGUUGUGGUUUUGCGUAGGUAAGAAACGUUCUUGCUAGAAACACAUAGCAGCCACGUAAAACAUGCAAACAACAAUUAGAGGACGUCUAACUUGUUUUUGCAGGGUAUGCUAUGUGAUGUGAUAUGGCCAAGAAGAAUGUGAUGAAUAUAUGUGAUGUAUGAGAUUGAUCAUGUUCUUGUAAUAGGAAUCACGACUUGCAUGUCGAUGAGUAUGACAACCGGUAGGAGCCAUAGGAGUUGUCUUAAUUUAUUGUAUGACCUGCGUGUCAUUAAACAACGCCAUGUAAUUACUUUACUUUAUUGCUAACCGGUAGCCAUAGUAGUAGAAGUAAUAGUUGGCAAGACAACUUCAUGAAGACACGAUGAUGGAGAUCAUGAUGAUGGAGAUCAUGGUGUCAUGCCGGUGACGAUGAUGAUCAUGGAGCCCCGAAGAUGGAGUUCAAAAGGGGCAAAAUGAUAUUGGCCAUAUCAUGUCACUAUUUGAUUGCAUGUGAUGUUUAUCAUGUUCAUGCAUCUUAUUUGCUUAGAGCGAUGGUAGUAAAUAAGAUGAUCCCUCAUUAAAAUUUCAAGAAAGUGUUCCCCCUAACUAUGCACCGUUGCGAAAGUUCAUCGUUUCGAAGCACCACGUGAUGAUCGGGUGUGAUAGAUUCUUACGUUCACAUACAACGGGUGUAAGCCAGAUUUACACACGCGAAACACUUAGGUUGACUUGACGAGCCUAGCAUGUACAGACAUGGCCUCGGAACACAAGAGACCGAAAGGUCGAGCAUGAGUCAUAUAGUAGAUACGAUCAACAUGAAGAUGUUCACCGAUGAUGACUAGUCCGUCUCACGUGAUGAUCAGACACGGCCUAGUGACUCGGAUCAUGUAAUCACUUAGAUGACUAGAGGGAUGUCUAUCUAAGUGGGAGUUCAUAAGAUGAACUUAAUUAUCCUGAACAUAGUCAAAAGAUUCUUGCAAAUUAUGUCAUAGCAAUUAUGUUCCUAGAGAAAAUUUAGUUGUAAGUUGAUAGUAGCAAUUAUGCGGACUGGGUCCGUAAACUGAGGAUUGUCCUCGUUGCUUCGUAGAAGGCUUAUGUCCUUAAUGCACCGCUCGGUGUGUUGAACCUCGAACGUCGUUUAUGGAUGUUGCGAACAUUUGACAUACACGUUUUUGAUAACUACAUGAUAGUUCAGUUAAACAGUUUAGAGUUGAGGCACCAAAGACGAUUUCGAAACGUCGCGGAACAUAUGAGAUGUUUCGAGGGCUGAAAUUGGGAUUUCAGGCUCGUGCCCACGUUAAGAGGUAUAAGACCUCCGACGAUUUUCUUAGCCUGCAAACUAAGGGAGAAAAGCUCAAUCGUUGAGCUUGUGCUCAGAUUGUCUGAGUGCAACAAUCACUUGAAUCGAGUGGGAGUUGAUCUUCCAGAUGAGAUAGUGAUAUUUCUCCAAAGUCAUUGCCACCAAGCUGCUAGAGCUUCGUGAUGAACUAUAACAUAUCAGGGAUAGAUAUGAUGAUCCUUGAGGUAUUCACGAUGUUUGACACCGCGAAAGUAGAAAACAAGAAGGAGCAUCAAUUGUUGAUGGUUGGUGAAACCACUAGUUUCAAGAAGGGCAAGGGCAAGAAGGGAUACUUCAUGAAACGGCAAAUCGGCUGCUGCUCUAGUGAAGAAACCCAAGGUUGAACCCAAACCCGAGACUAAGUGCUUCUAUAAUAAGGGGAACAGCCACUGGAGCAGAAUUACCCUAGAUACUUGGUAGAUGAGAAGGCUGGCAAGGUCGAUAGAAGUAUAUUGGAUAUACAUUAUGUUAAUGUGUACUUUACUAGUACUCCUAGUAGCACCAGGGUAUUAAGAUACCGGUUCGGUUGCUAAGUGUUAGUAACUCGAAAUAAAAGAGCUACGGAAUAAACGGAGACUAGCUAAAGGUGAGCUGACGAUAUGUGUUGGAAGUGUUUCCCAGUUUGGUGUGAUCAAACAUAGCACGCUCCCUCUACCAUCAAGAUUAGUAUUAAACCUGAAUAAUUGUCAUUUGGUGUUUGCGUUGAGCAUAGACAUGAUUGGAUUAUGUCUAUCGCAAUACGGUUAUUCAUUUAAGGAGAAUAAUGGUUACUCUAUUUAUUUGAAUAAUACCUUCAAUGGUCUUGCACCUAAAGGAAUGGUUUAUUGAAUCUCGAUCGUAGUGAUACACAUUUUCAUGCCAAAAGAUAUAAGAUAGUAAUGAUAGUACCACUUACUUGUGGCACUGCCAUGUAAGUCAUAUUGGUAUAAAACGCAUGAAGAAGCUCCAUGUUGAUGGAUCUUUGGACUCACUCAUUUUUGAAAAGUUUGAGACAUGCGAACCAUGUCUAUUGGUGUAUACGCAUGAAGAAACUCCAUGCAGAUGGAUCGUUUGGACUCACUUGAUUUUGAAUCACUUGAGAUAUGCAAAUCAUACCACAUGGGCAAGAUGACUAAAAAGCCUCGGUUUUAGUAAGAUGGAACAAGGUAGCAACCUGUUGGAAGUAACACAUUUUGAUGUGUGCAGUCCAAUGAGUGCUGAGGCAUGCAGUGAAUAUCGUUAUGUUCUGACUUCACAGAUGAUUCGAGUAGAUGUUGAGUAUAUUUACUUGAUGAAACACAAGUCUGAAUUAUUGAAUGGUUCAAGUAAUUUCAGAGUGAAGUUAAAGAUCAUUGUGACAAGAGGAUAAAAUGUCUAUGAUAUGAUCAUAGAAAUGAGUAUCUGAGUUACGAGCUUUGGCACGCAAUUAAGACAUUGUGGAAAUUGUUUCACAAUUAAUACCGCCUGGAACACCAUAGUGUGAUGGUGUGUCCGAACAUCAUAGUUGCACCCUAUUGGAUAUGGUGCGUACCAUGAUGUCUCUUAUCGAAUUACCACUAUCGUUCAUGGGUCAGGCAUUAGAGACAACCGCACUCACUUUAAUAGGGCACCACAUAAUUCCGUUGAGACGACACCGUUUGAACUAUGGUUUGGAGAAACCUAAGUUGUCAUUUCUUAAAAGUUUGGGGCUGCGAUGCUUAUGUGAAAAAGUUUCAGGUUGAUAAGCUCGAACCCAAAGCGGAUAAAAUGCAUAUUCAUAGGACACUCAAAACAGUUGGGUAUACCUCCUAAUUCAGAUCCGAAAGCAAUAGGGAUUGUUUCUUGAAUCGGGUCCUUUUCUCGAGGAAAUGUUUGUCUCGAAAAUUGAGUGGGAGGAUGGUGGAGACUUGAUGAGGUUAUUGAACCGUCACUUCAACAAGUGUGUAGCAGGGCACAGGAAGUUGUUCCUGUGGCGCCUACACCAAUUGAAGUAGAAGCUUAUGAUAGUGAUCAUGAAGUUUUGGAUCAAGUCACUACCGUACCUCGUAGGGUGACAAGGAUGCGUACUACUUCAGAGUGGUACAGUAAUCCUGUCUUGAAGGUCAUGUUGCUAGACAACAAUGAACCUACGAGCUAUGAAGAAGCGAUGGUGGGCCCAAAUUCCGACAAAUGGUUAGAAGCCAUGAAAUCCGAGAUAGGAUCCAUGUAUUCGAACAAAGCAUGGACUUUGGUGGACUUGCCCGAUGAUCGGCAAGCCAUUGAGAUAAAUGGAUCUUUGAGAAGAAGACGGACGUGGACGGUAAUGUCACCGUCUAUGAAGUUCGACUUAUGGCAAAGAGUUUUUCACAAGUUUAAGGAGUUGACUAUGAUGAGAUUUUCUCAUCUGUAGCGAUGCUUAAGUCCGUCGGAAUCAUGUUAGCAUUAGCUGCAUUUAUGAAAUCUGGCAGAUGGAUGUCAAAACGAGUUUCCUUACCAGUUUUCGUAAGGAAAGGUUGUAUGUGAUACAAUCAGAAAGGUUUUGUCGAUCCUAAGGAUGCUAAAAGGUAUGCUGGCUCCAGCGAUCCUUCUAAGGACUGGAGUAAGCAUCUCGGAGUUGGAAUGUACGCUUUGAUGAGAUAAUCAAAGAUUUUGGGUUUAUACAAAGUUUAUGAGAAACUUGUAUUUCCAAAGAAGUGUGUGGGAGCACUAUAGAAUUUCUGAUGAAUAUAUGUUGUUGACAUAUUGUUGAUCAGAAAUGAUGUAGAGUUUCUGUAAAGCAUAUAGUGUUAUUUGAAAAGUGUUUUUCAAGUGAAAACCUGGAUUAAGCUACUUGAACAUUGAGCAUCAAGAUCUAUGAGGAUAGAUCAAAAACCGCUUAAUGGUACUUUCAAAUGAGCAUAUACCUUGACAUGAUCUUGAAGGUGUUCAAGAUGGAUCAGUCAAAGAAGGAGUUCUUGCCUGAGAUGUAAGGUAUGAAGUUAAGACUUAAAGCUCGACCACGGCAGAAAACAGAGAAAGGACGAAGGUCGUCCCCUAUGCUUUAGACGUAGGCUCUGCAGUAUGCUAUGCUGAGUACCGCACCUGAUGUGUGCCUUGCCACAUGUCUGGCAAGAGGGUACAAAGGUGAUCAAGGAGUGGAUCACCAGACAGCGGUCAAAAAAUUGUCCUUGGAGUAAUAAGGACAUAUUUCUCGAUUAUGGAGGUGAUAAAGAGUUCGGCGUAAAGGGUUACGUCGAUGCAAGCUUUAACACCUAUCCGAAUGACUCCGAGUAGCAAACCGGAUACGUAUAGUGGAGCAACCAUUUGGAAUAGCUCCAAGUGGAGCGUGGAAGCAGCAUUUACAAUAUGACCUAGAGAUUUGCGAAGUACAUACGGAUCUGAAUGUUGCAGACCCGUUGACUAAAACCUCUCUCACAAGCAAAACAUGAUCAAACCCCAAAACUCAUUGAGUCUUAAUCACAUGAUGAUGUGAACUAGUUUAGUGACACUAGUAAACUAUUUGGAUGUUGGUCACAUGGUGAUGUGACCUGUGAGUGUUAAUCACAUGGCGAUGUGAACUAGAUUAUUGACUCUAGUGCAAGUGGGAGACUGUUGGAAAUAUGCCCUAGAGGCAAUAAUAAAUUAGUUAUUAUUAUUAUAUUUCCUUGUUCAUGAUAAUCGUUUAUUAUCCAUGCUAUAAUUGUAUUGAUAGGAAACUCAUAUACAUGUGUGGGUACAUAGACAACACCAUGUCCCUAGUAAGCCUCUAGUUGACUAGCUCGUUGAUCAAUAGAUGGUUACGGUUUCCUGACCAUGGACAUUGGAUGUCGUUGAUAACGGGAUCACAUCAUUAGGAGAAUGAUGUGAUGGACAAGACCCAAUCCUAAGCCUAGCACAGAGAUCGUGUAGUUCGUAUGCUAAAGCUUUUCUAAUGUCAAGUAUCUUUUCCUUAGACCAUGAGAUUAUGCAACUCCCGGAUACCGUAGGAAUGCUUUGGGUGUACCAAACGUCACAACGUAACUGGGUGGCUAUAAAGGUGCACUACAAGUAUCUCUGAAAGUGUCUGUUGGGUUGGCACGAAUCGAGACUGGGAUUUGUCACUCCGUGUGACGGAGAGGUAUCUCUGGGCCCACUCGGUAGGACAUCAUCAUAAUGUGCACAAUGUGAUCAAAGAGUUGAUCGCGGGAUGAUGUGUUACGGAACGAGUAAAGAGACUUGUCGGUAACAAGAUUGAAUAAGGUAUCGGCAUACCGACGAUCGAAUCUCGGGCAAGUACAAUACCGCUAGACAAAGGGAAUUGUAUACGGGAUUGAUUGAGUCCUUGACAUCGUGGUUCAUCCGAUGAGAUCAUCGUGGAACAUGUGGGAGCCAACAUGGGUAUCUAGAUCCCGCUGUUGGUUAUUGACCGGAGAACGUCUCGGUCAUGUCUGCAUGGUUCCCGAACCCGUAGGGUCUACACACUUAAGGUUCGAUGACGCUAGGGUUAUAAAGGAAGUUUGUAUGUGGUUACCGAAUGUUGUUCAGAGUCCCGGAUGAGAUCCCGGACGUCAUGAGGAGUUCCGGAAUGGUCCGGAGGUAAAGAUUUAUAUAUGGGAAGUCUUGUUUUGGUCGCCGGAAAAGUUUCGCGCAUUAUCGGUAUUGUACCGGGAGUGCCGAAAGGGGUCCGGGGGUCCACCAGGGGUCCACCUGCCCCGGGGGGCACAUGGGCUGUAGGGGUGUUCGCCUUCGCCUAUAUGGGCCAAGGGCACCAGCCCCAAGAGGCCCAUGCGCCAAGAGAUAAGGGAAAGGGAGAGUCCUAAAAGGGGAAGGCACCUCCUAGGUGCCUUGGGGAGGAUGGACUCCUCCCUAGCCGCACCCUUCCUUGGAGGAAGGGCCAAGGCUGCGCCCCCCCCCCCCCUCUCCCUUGCCCCUAUAUAUAGUGGAGGGGAGGGAGGGCAGCUGCACCUGAAGCCCUGGCGCCUCCCUCCCUCCCGUGACACCUCCUCCUCUCCCGCAGGUGCUUGGCGAAGCCCUGCAGGAUUGCCACGCUCCUCCACCACCACCAUGCCGUUGUGCUGCUGCUGGAUGGAGUCUUCCUCAACCUCUCCCUCUCUCCUUGCUGUAUCAAGGCAUGGGAGACGUCACCGGGCUGUACGUGUGUUGAACGCGGAGGUGUCGUCCGUUCGGCACUAGGAUCUCUGGUGAUUUGGAUCACGACGAGUACGACUCCUUCAACCCCGUUCUCUUGAACGCUUCCGCUUAGCGAUCUACAAGGGUAUGUAGAUGCACUCUCCUUCCCCUCGUUGCUGGUUUCUCCAUAGAUAGAUCUUGGUGACACGUAGGAAAAUUUUGAAUUUCUGCUACGUUCCCCAACAUUCAUGACAAGGUGAACCAAGAGUUGAUACGGAAGCAUCCACAAGUGGGACAUACCAAGAUGAAGAAAAUGAGGAAGUGCAUCAAGAUGAACGUCAACAACCUCCUUCUCCACCACGACAAGAGAACGACAACGCCAACAAUGAAGAAGGCCAAGAAUAAGAACAAGAUGAAGAAGAUGUUCAACAAAGACCCAAGCAAAAGCUUUCACGAGUUCGAGCAAGAAUUGCUAAAGACCAUCCCGUCGAGCAAAUCUACAAUGAUAUUCAAACCGGGAGAAUCACUCACUCUAAAACUCAUUUAGCUAACUUUUGUGAAAACUAUUCUUUCAUCUCUAGCAUUGAACCUAUGAAGGUUGAAGAAGCAUUGGAAGAUCUGGAUUGGAUAAAUUCUAUGCAUGAAGAGCUACACAAUUUUGAGAGGAACCAAGUUUGGACAUUGGUUGAGAAGCCCGACAACAACCACAACAUCAUCGGUACCAAAUGGUUGUUUCGCAACAAGCAAGAUGAAGAAGGACAAGUAGUUCGCAACAAAGCACGUCUCGUCGCCCAAGGUUACACACAAGUCGAAGGUAUGGACUAUGGUGAGACUUAUGCUCCCGUUUCUAGACUUGAGUCCAUUCGCAUCUUACUUGCCUAUGCUAAUCACCAUGAUAUCACCUUGUACCAAAUGGACAUUAAAAGUGCUUUUCUAAAUGGUUAAAUAGAGGAGGAAGUUUAUGUUAAACAACCUCCCGGCUUUGUCAAUCCUAAGAAACCCAAUCAUGUUUACAAACUUCACAAAGCUCUUUAUGGUCUUAAACAAGCUCCUAGAGCGUGGUAUAAAUGCUUGACCAAGUUCCUUAUUGAAAAAGGCUUUGAAAUUGGGAAAAUUGACUCUACUCUUUUUACUAAAAGGGUUAAUGGAGAACUAUUUGUGUGCCAAAUCUAUGUUGAUGAUAUUAUAUUUCGUUCAACUAACCCUCAUUUUAGUGAAAAGUUUGGGAAGCUAAUGUCGGAGAAGUUUGAGAUGUCUAUGAUGAGUGAACUCAAAUUCUUUCUUGGUUUGCAAAUCAAGCAAACUAAGGAAGGUACCUUUGUCUCUCAAACGAAGUACACCAAGGACUUAUUCAAGAAGUUCAAUAUGCAAGAAUGCAAAGGUAUGUCUACACCCAUGCCUACUAGUGGACAUCUUGACUUGACCAAAGAUAGUGAACCGGUUGAUCAAAAGGUUUAUCGCUCUAUGAUUGGUUCAUUGUUAUAUCUAUGUGCUUCACGUCCCGAUAUCAUGCUAAGUGUGUGCAUGUGUGCACGAUAUCAAGCUACUCCUAAAGAAUGUCAUCUUAAGGCCGUGAAAAGGAUAGUGAGAUACUUAAUCCAUACACCAAAUUUUGGCAUUUGGUAUCCUAAGAGGGCCUCUUUCGAUCUUGUUGGCUACUCCGACUCGGACUAUGCCGGAGACAAGGUUGAUAGAAAGUCCACUUCGGGUACUUGUCAAUUUCUUGGUAGAUCUCUUGUGUCUUGGUCUUCCAAGAAACAAAACUCGGUAUCCUUAUCCACCGCCGAAGCGGAAUACAUUGCCGCUGGUUCAUGUUGUGCUCAAUUACUUUGGAUGACCCAAACUCUUAAAGAUUAUGGGAUAUAUGUGAGACACGUUCCAUUGCUUUGUGACAAUGAAAGUGCUAUCAAAAUUGGUCAUAAUCCUGUGCAACAUUCUCGAACUAAGCAUAUUGAAGUUUGUCAUCAUUUCAUUCGAGAUCAUGUUGCUAAGGGUGGCAUUGAUCUUAAGCAUGUUCGCACCGAAAAGCAAUUAGCGGAUAUAUUUACUAAACCCCUUGAUGAGAAAGUGUUUUGCAGGUUAAGAGGAGAAUUGAACAUCAUUGAUGCUUCAAACUUGGAGUAGAAACUCCAUUGGAUACAUGCAAGACAUGAGCUUAUGACUAAUCCUUGAUAUUUCUCUUAUGAUGAAAAUCUUAUGUCUUGGAUAUACUUGGAUCUUGCAUGUUAUCUAACCCAUGUAGGUACUUGGAUGAAUCUAAUUCCAUGAUAUUGUAAUCUACUCACAUCUUGAGCAAUAUCUACAUCACCAAGUCUCUACACUAUGGUGGUUGAAGACAAGGAAGCACGGAACCAUUCAAACAUAUCCUUUGACAAAUUCUAUGUUGAGCUUCAUGAGUGUCAUUUUUGGAUACACAAGUGCUCUUCCUUGCAAGAACUAACCCAUGUAGGAAGAUGGACUCAAAUUCCAAGUGGUGCUCCAAAUUCUUGAUGAGCUACAUCAACCUUGAGCAACCCACGCAAGUUCAACUACAUGGACAACACCACCAACCAAGGUAUGUUAUUCCAUCUUAGAGAAGCUUUACUCCAUCAUGAGUUAAAGCAACUCGACAAGAUGUGAAUACAUCAAGAUGCUUAAAGGAAAAAUGGCAACCCCAUUUUGAGCUUAAACGAUGAGUAUGACCUAUGAUCAAGUGAUCUCACUUGACUCCUAAGUUAAUAUACUCUAGCAUAGGUGACUUUGUCACCGACCAUCUCUAGAUGAAGUUCUCUUGUGUUCUUUUCUGUGUUUUUGCAUUCGUCUCAUGCAUAUUUGUUUCCCCUUUCAAAAAAAACUUCAUCUAGAUUUCUUUCUGUUUGCUCUGCAUUUUCUGCAUUAAAUUCAUUGCAUAUCUUUCAGUUAAUUCCUUGCAAAUCCUUGUGAGAUCUUACUGGUCUAGUGAGCUGACGUGACAAGUGUUUUCUCUGCAAUGAACUCGGUUUCACUGAUUUUUUGUUCUCGGUCCAACCGAGUCCUAUCGGUACAACCGAAGCCUACCACUCGGUGCCACCGAUUUCACAACAGGAAGAACAGUUUACCACUUAUUAUGUGUUUCUUCUGAUCCAGCUCCACUCAAUGAAUCUUGUCCUCUACAAGCAUCACAUUUUUAUCGUUGCCUUGUACUAUGACUCAAGGACCAAACCCGUUCGACAGAUUCCAGAACCCUUCUUGGAAAUUGAUGUCAAAGGGGGAGAGAGAGAUCACAUCAAAGCUUAUGAUUCAGAGAGAGAUCACAUCAGAGAAAGAGUCUAUUACCUCCUCAAGGGAAGAGAGAGAUCCUCAGGGGGGAGAGAGAUCUCCAGGGGAGAGAAUACUUAAGUAAAAAGUAUUUCUCAAGGAUCCCAGAUGCUUGGUGUUCAAGAGGAGACAUGGCACAUGUCUUCUUGAGGGGAGAGACAUGUUCAUAUGAUCUUUUGUGCUUAUUUGCAUUAGUUUGCAUUAGCUUGCAUUAGCUCUGUUCAUCAUUCAUAUCUUUCAGCUCUGGUUUUCUGUUCCCUAUCUUCUCCCAGUAUCCCAUGCUAGAUUCAUGGGGAGCAAGACAUCUAAGGGAAAGAAAUCAUUUAAAUUCAUUGCAUAUCUUUACUCUUGGGGACAUGUCUAAUCCAAUGUGGUACUUAGUACUCACUCUCUACAUGUCAUCCCAGUCUUGGUAUUCUUGUGGUUUCUUCUGUUUUCUCUAGCUAGUAGAUGUAUCUGUGUUAUCUAACCUUGUUUACGCAGGUUCAUUCCACCCUAAGCCAACUCAAGACUACAAGGUAACUGUAUGCAUCACAAUCAUGUGUAUGAGGAAUUCUUGCUGAUGUACAUACUGUUUGCAAGAGGGACUCAUGGGCAUGAAGGUAUUUUCUUUAAUAUUCUUUGCUCUGAUGCAUAUGACCAAGAUACAUGUAACACAUUGCCUACUCUAUCAUUGUUAUGCUCUCACAUGCUUCUAUAUUCCAUAUUCGCAUGAUUGCAUACAUGUAGGGGGAUCCUAUGCUUGUUACAUGUCCUUCCAAAGCUUUACUUGCUAUUCUUUAUAUCUUUAUCUAAAGCUUUGUUGUAUGUUGUCAUCAAUUACCAAAAAGGGGGAGAUUGAAAGCACAAAUGCUCCCUAGGUGGUUUUGGUAAUUAAUGUCAACAUAUCUCUUGUUGGACUAACACUUUUAUCUAGUAUAUUUCACACAAGUUCAACAUUGGAGUGGCAUGGACUAAAGGAUGUGGGAACUCCUUCAAGAUGCUAAGGACAAAGGAUUGGCUCAAGCUUCAAGCUCAAGACUCUUCAUUUUACAUUUUAGUGAUCCAAGAUCACAUUGAGUCUAUAGGAAAAGCCAAUACUAUCAAGGAGGGAUGAGGUGUUGCUUAAUGAGCCUCUUGCUUCAAGUGCUUAGUGAUAUGCUCCAAAACCCUCAACUACUUUUCCACUUCCACACAAAUGACCUAAACCUAAAGUCAAAAUCGGCCAUACUGAUUCUUUCUAUCCGGUGCCACCGAGUUUUGGAUGUCUUAACCACUGCCACAAACCCUAGGCAAAUCGGUCCUACCGAUAGGGAUCUCGGUCUCACCGAGAUGGGAUUGUAAUCUCUAUGUGUAUGUCCAUUACCAAAAUCGGUCUCACCGAGUUUGAGCAAUCGGUACUACCGAGAUUACAAUGCAAACUUCCUGGUUGACUCAUUACCAAAAUCGGUCCCACCGAGUUUGUGUAAUCGGUCCAACUAGUUUGCCUGACCAACUCUGUGGAAAGCUUAUCACCAAAAUCGGUCUCACCGAGUUUGUGUAAUCGGUCUUACCGAGAUUAGUUAUGCCCUAACCCUAACCAUAUCGGUCCUACCGAGUUGCAUUUCGGUCCCACUGAAAAACCUAACGGUCACAUUAUUUGCUAAAUCGGUCUGACCGAGUCUUUUGAAUCAGUCCCACCGAGUUUGGUAAAUUGUGUGUAACGGUUAGAUUUUGUGUGGAGGCUAUAUAUACCCCUCCACCUCCUCUUCAUUCGUGGAGAGAGCCAUCAGACUGAACCUACACUUCCAACUUACCAUUUCUGAGAGAGAACCACCUACUCAUGUGUUGAGGCCAAGAUAUUCCAUUCCUACCAUAUGAAUCUUGAUCUCCAGCCUUUCCAAAGUUGCUUUCCACUCAAAUCUUCUUCCAACCAAAUCCAAAACCUAUGAGAGAGAGUUGAGUGUUGGGGAGACUAUCAUUUGAAGCACAAGAGCAAGGAGUUCAUCAUCAACGCACUAUUUGUUACUUCUUGGAGAGUGGUGUCUCCUAGAUUGGCUAGGUGUCACUUGGGAGCCUUCGACAAGAUUGUGGAGUUGAACCAAGGAGUUUGUAAGGGCAAGGAGAUCGCCUACUUCAUGAAGAUCUACCGCUAGUGAGGCAAGUCCUUCGUGGGCGACGGCCAUGGUGGGAUAGACAAGGUUGCUUCUUCGUGGACCCUUCAUGGGUGGAGCCCUCCGUGGACUCGCGCAACCGUUACCCUCCGUGGGUUGAAGUCUCCAUCAACGUGGAUGUACGAUAGCACCACCUAUCGGAACCACGCCAAAAACAUCCGUGUGUCCAAUUGCGUUUGAAUCCUCCAAAACCCUUCCCUUUACAUUCUUGCAAGUUGCAUGCUUUACUUUCCGCUGCUCAUAUACUCUUUGCAUGCUUGCUUGAUAUGUAUCGUGAAUGUUAAACUUGUGACUAAACUCCACUUAAACUUUAAGGAAACUUGAAAACUGCAACUUUGUCACUUAGUGUCUAAUCACCCCCCCUCUAGACACCUCUUCUCAAGGUCCUACACAAAAUCAGAGGGUAUCUUAUUAAAAUUACCAUAAGAAUUAUUGUAGGAAUUUCCAUAAUUAUUAGAGGAAUUGCUAAGGAACAGUCUAGGAUUAAAGUUUCCUCUAUAAGCAUUGUUACCAAAAUUAUUCCUACCAACAAAAUUCACAUCCAUAGAUUCAUUAUUAUUCUCAAUCAAAGUAGACAAAGGCAUAUCAUUGGGAUCAAUAGGAGCACUCUUAGUAGCAAACAAUUUCAUAAGUUCAUCCAUCUUUCCACUCAAAACAUUAAUUUCUUCUAUAGCAUGCACUUUUUUAGUAGUAGAUCUUUCCGUGUGCCAUUGAGAAUAAUUAGCCAUAAUAUUAUCAAGGAGUUUUGUAGCUUCUCCUAAGGUGAUUUCCAUAAAUGUGCCUCCCGUGGCCGAAUCUAAAAGAUUUCUAGAAACAAAAUUCAAUCCGGCAUAAAAAUUUUGUAUGAUCAUCCAUAAAUUCAAACCAGGAAUAGGGCAAUUGUGAAUCAUCAAUUUCAUUCUUUCCCAAGAUUGGGCAACAUGCUCAUGAUAAAGUUGUUUAAAAUUCAUAUCGUUCCUAAGAGUGAUGAUCUUAGCGAGAGGAAAAUAUUUAGAGAUAAAAGCAUCUUUGCACUUGUUCCACAAAUCAAUACUAUUCUUAGGCAAAGACGAAAACCAAACUUUAGCACGAUCUCUAAGUGAAAACGGAAAUAACUUCAAUUUAACAAUAUCAUUAUUCAUAUCUUUAUUCUUUUGCAUCUCACACAAAUCAAUAAAGUUGUUUAAAUGGGUAGCGGCAUCUUCACUAGGAAGGCCAGAGAAUUGAUCGUUCAUAACAAGAUUCAACAAAGUUGUAUUGAUUUCACAAGACUCAACAUCAUUCAGAGGAGCAAUCGGAGUACUAAGGAAAUCAUUAUUAUUGGUAUUGGAGAAGUCACAUAAUUUGGUAUUAUCUUGCGCCAUCGCGACAAGUAAUCCAACACACAAGCAAACAAAAAGGCAAGCGAAAGAGAGAGGAGAUUGGGAAAGAGAGGGCGAAUAAAACGGCAAGGGUGAAGUGGGGGAGAGGAAAACGAGAGGCAAAUGGCAAAUAAUGUAAAUGCGAGGGAGAUGAGUUUGUGAUGGGUACUUGGUAUGUCUUGCCUUGAGAGAAGACCUCCCCGGCAACGGCGCCAGAAAUCCUUCUUGCUACGUCUUGAGCUUGCGUUGGUUUUCCUUGAAGAGGUAAGGGUGAUGCAGCAAUAGUAGCGUAAGUAUUUCCCUCAGUUUUUUAGAACCAAGGUAUCAAUCUAGUAGGAGGCUCCUCAAAAGUCCCACGCACCUACACAAACAAACAAGAGCUCGCAACCAACGCAAUAAAGGGGUUGUCAGUCCCUUCAAGGCCACUUGUGAAAGUGAAUCUGAUAGAGAUAAUAUGAUAAGAUAAAUAUAUUUUUGGUAUUUUAUAAUAUAGAUUGAAAAAGUGAAGAUGCAAAUAAAAGUAGAUUGAAAGCUUAUAUGAUAAAAGAUAGAUCUGGGGGCCAUAGGUUUCACUAGUGGCUUCUCUCAAGAUAGCAUAAGUAUUACGAUGGGUGAACAAAUUACUAUCGAGCAAUUGAUAGAAAAGCAAAUAAUUAUGAGAUUAUCUAGGCAUGAUCAUGUAUAUAGGCAUCACGUCCGUGACAAUUAGACCAACUCCUGCCUGCAUCUACUACUAUUACUCCACACAUCGACCGCUAUCCAGCAUGCAUCUAAAGUAUUAAGUUCAUAAAGAAACAGAGUAACGCAUUAAGAAAUAUGACAUGAUGUAGAGGGAUAAACUCAUGCAAUAUGAUAUAAACUCCAUCUUUUUAUCCUCGAUGGCAACAAUACAAUACGUGCAUUGCUGCCCCUGCUGUCAUUGGGAAAGGACACCGCAAGAUUGAACCCAAAGCUAAGCACUUCUCCCAUUGCAAGAAAGAUCAAUCUAGUAGGCCAAACCAAACUGAUAAUUCGAAGAGACUUUCACAGAUAACUUAAUCACAAAUAAAAGAAUUCAGAGGAGAUUCAAAUAUUUCUCAUAGAUAAACUUGAUCAUAAACCCACAAUUCAUCGGAUCUCGACAAACACACCGCAAAAAGAGUUACAUUGAAUAGAUCUCCAAGAAGAUCGAGGAGAACAUGGUAUUGAGAUUCAAAGAGAGAGAAGAAGCCAUCUAGCUAAUAACUAUGGACCCGAAGGUCUAUGGUAAACUACUCACAACUCAUUGGAGAGCCUAUGGUGUUGAUGUCGAAGCCCUCCGUGGUUGAUUCCCCCUCCGGCGGAGCGCCGGCGAAGGCUCCAAGAUGGGAUCUCACGGAUACAGAAGGUUACGGUGGUGGAAAUAGUUUUUCGUGGUCGCCUUUGAUGUUCUCGGGGUACGUGGGUAUACAUAGGAGGAAGAAGUAGGUCGGUGGAUGCCCGAGGGGCCCACGAGAUAGGGGGUGCGCCUAGUGUUGGGGAACGUAGUAAUUUCAAAAAUUUCCUAUGCACACGCAAGAUCAUGGUGAUGGCAUAGCAACGAGAGGGGAGAGUGUUGUCCACGUACCCUCGUAGACCGUAAGUGGAAGCAUUAUGACAACACGGUUGAUGUAGUCGUACGUCUUCAUGAUCCGACCGAUCCAAGCACCAAACGUAUGGCACCUCCGAGUUCAGCACACGUUCAGCUCGAUGACGAUCCCCGGGCUCCGAUCCAGCAAAGCUUCGGGGAUGAGUUCCGUCAGCACGACGGCAUGGUGACGAUGAUGAUGUUCUACCGGCGCAGGGCUUCGCCUAAACUCCGCGACGAUAUGACCGAGGUGGAAUAUAGUGGAGGGGGGCACCGCACACGGCUAAGGAACGAUUCGUAGAUCAACUUGUGUGUUCUAGGGUGCCCCCCUGCCCCCGUAUAUAAAGGAGCAAGGGGGGAGGCCGGCCGGCCCCUUGGGGCGCGCCAAGGAGGAGGAAUCCUCCUCCUAGUAGGAGUAGGAUUCCUCCUUUCCUACUCCUACUCGGAGGGGGANNNNNNNNNNNNNNNNNNNNNNNNNNNNNNNNNNNNNNNNNNNNNNNNNNNNNNNNNNNNNNNNNNNNNNNNNNNNNNNNNNNNNNNNNNNNNNNNNNNNNNNNNNNNNNNNNNNNNNNNNNNNNNNNNNNNNNNNNNNNNNNNNNNNNNNNNNNNNNNNNNNNNNNNNNNNNNNNNNNNNNNNNNNNNNNNNNNNNNNNNNNNNNNNNNNNNNNNNNNNNNNNNNNNNNNNNNNNNNNNNNNNNNNNNNNNNNNNNNNNNNNNNNNNNNNNNNNNNNNNNNNNNNNNNNNNNNNNNNNNNNNNNNNNNNNNNNNNNNNNNNNNNNNNNNNNNNNNNNNNNNNNNNNNNNNNNNNNNNNNNNNNNNNNNNNNNNNNNNNNNNNNNNNNNNNNNNNNNNNNNNNNNNNNNNNNNNNNNNNNNNNNNNNNNNNNNNNNNNNNNNNNNNNNNNNNNNNNNNNNNNNNNNNNNNNNNNNNNNNNNNNNNNNNNNNNNNNNNNNNNNNNNNNNNNNNNNNNNNNNNGGGACUCCGAACAAACUUCGGUACAUCAAAACUUGUAAACUCAUAAUAAAACUGUCAUCGUAAUGUUAAGCGUGUGGACCCUACGGGUUCGAGAACUAUGUAGACAUGACCUAGAACUAUUCUCGGUCAAUAACCAAUAGCGGAACCUGGAUGCCCAUAUUGGUUCCUACAUAUUCUACGAAGAUCUUUAUCGGUCAAACCGCAUAACAACCUACGUUGUUCCCUUUGUCAUCGGUAUGUUACUUGCCCGAGAUUUGAUCGUCGGUAUCCAAUACCUAGUUCAAUCUCGUUACCGGCUAGUCUCUUUACUCGUUACGUAAUGCAUCAUCCCGUAACCAACUCAUUGGUCACAUUGCUUGCAAGGCUUAUAGUGAUGUACAUUACUGAGAGGGCCCGGAGAUACCUCUCCGACAAUCGGAGUGACAAAACCUAAUCUCGAAAUAUUCCAACUCAACAUGUACCUUCAGAGACACCUGUAGUACUCCUUUAUAAUCACCCAGUUACGUUGUGACGUUUGGUAGUACCCAAAGUGUUCCUCCGAUAAACAGGAGUUGCAUAAUCUCAUAGUUACAGGAACAUGUAUAAGUCAUGAAGAAAGCAAUAGCAAUAUACUAAACGAUCAAGUGCUAAGCUAACGGAAUGGGUCAUGUCAAUCACAUCAUUCUCCUAAUGAUGUGACCCCGUUAAUCAAAUGACAACACAUGUCUAUGGUUAGGAAACAUAACCAUCUUUGAUUAAUGAGCUAGUCAAGUAGAGGCGUACUAGUGACUAUAUGUUUGUCUAUGUAUUCACACAUGUAUCAUGUUUCCGGUUAAUACAAUUCUAGCAUGAAUAAUAAACAUUUAUCAUGAUAUGAGGAAAUAAAUAAUAACUUUAUUAUUGCCUCUAGGGCAUAUUUCCUUCAGUCUCCCACUUGCACUAGAGUCAAUAAUCUAGAUUACAUAGUAAUGAUUCUAACACCCAUGGAGUCUUGGUGCUGAUCAUGUUUUGCUCGUGAGAGAGGCUUAGUCAAUGGGUCUGCAACAUUCAGAUCCGUAUGUAUCUUGCAAAUUUCUAUGUCUCCCACUUGGACUUGGUCCCGGAUGGAAUUGAAGCGUCUCUUGAUGUGCUUGGUCCUCUUGUGAAAUCUGGAUUCCUUUGCCAAAGCAAUUGCGCCAGUAUUGUCACAGAAGAUCUUCAUUGGUCCCGAUGCACUAGGUAUGACACCUAGAUCGGAAAUGAACUCCUUCAUCCAGACUCCUUCAUUUGCUGCUUCCGAAGCAGCUAUGUACUCCGCUUCACAUGUAGAUCCCGCCACGACGCUUUGUUUAGAACUGCACCAACUUACAGCUCCACCGUUUAAUAAAAACACGUAUCCGGUUUGCGAUUUAGAAUCGUCCGGAUCAGUGUCAAAGCUAGCAUCGACGUAACCAUUUACGACUAGCUCUUUGUCACCUCCAUAUAUGAGAAACAUAUCCUUAGUCCUUUUCAGGUAUUUUAGGAUGUUCUUGACCGCUGUCCAGUGAUCCACUCCUGGAUUACUUUGGUACCUCCCUGCCAAACUUAUUGCUAAGCAUACGUCAGGUCUGGUACACAGCAUUGCAUACAUGAUAGAGCCUAUGGCUGAAGCAUAGGGAAUAUCUUUCAUUUUCUCUCUAUCUUCUGUUGUGGUCGGGCAUUGAGUUUGACUCAACUUCACACCUUGAAGCACGGGCAAGAACCCUUUAUUUGCCUGAUCCAUUUUGAACUUUUUCAAAAUUUUAUCAAGGUAUGUACUUUGUGAAAGUCCUAUUAAGUGUCUUGAUCUAUCUCUUUAGAUCUUGAUGCCCAAUAUGUAAGCACCUUCAACUAGAUCUUUCAUUGAAAAACUUUUAUUCAAGUAUCCCUUUAUGCUAUCCAGAAAUUCUAUAUCAUUUCCAAUUAAUAAUAUGUCAUCUACAUAUAAUAUCAGAAAUGCUACAGAGCUCCCACUCACUUUCUUGUAAAUACAGGCUUCUCCAAAAGUCUGUAUAAAACCAUAUGCUUUGAUCACACUAUCAAAGCGUUUAUUCCAACUCCGAGAUGCUUGUACCAGUCCAUAAAUGGAUCGCUAGAGCUUGCACACUUUGUUAGCACCUUUCGGAUCAACAAAACCUUCUGGUUGCAUCAUAUACAACUCUUCUUCCAGAAAUCCAUUCAAGAAUGCAGUUUUGACAUCCAUUUGCCAUAUUUGAUAAUUAUGAAAUGCAGCAAUACCUAACAUGAUUCGGACAGACUUAAGCAUCGCUAUGGGUGAGAAAGUCUCAUCGUAGUCAACCCCUUGAACUUGUCGAAAACCUUUCGCAACAAGUCGAGCUUUAUAGACAGUUACAUUACCAUCAGUGUCAGUCUUCUUCUUAAAGAUCCAUUUAUUCUCAAUGGCUUGCCGAUCAUCGGGCAAGCCAACCAAAGUCCAUACUUUGUUCUCAUACAUGGAUCCCAUCUCAGAUUUCAUGGCCUCUAGCCAUUUUGCGGAAUCUGGGCUCAUCAUCGCUUCCUCAUAGUUCGUAGGUUCAUCAUGGUCAAGUAACAUGAUUUCCAGAAUAGGAUUACCAUACCACUCUGGUGCGGAUCUUACUCUGGUAGACCUACGAGGUUCAGUAGAAACUUGAUUUGAAGUUUCAUGAUCAAUAUCAUUAGCUUCCUCACUAAUUGGUGUAGUUGUCACAGGAACCGGUUCUUGUGAUGAACUACUUUCCAACAAGGGAGUAGAUACAGUUAUCUCAUCAAGUUCUACUUUCCUCCCACUCAUUUCUUUCGAGAGAAACUCCUUCUCUAGAAAGGAUCCGACUUUAGCAACAAAAAUCUUGCCCUCAGAUCUGUGAUAGAAGGUGUACCCAAUGGUCUCUUUUGGGUAUCCUAUGAAGACACAUUUCUCCGAUUUAGGUUCGAGCUUAUCUGGUUGAAGUUUCUUCACAUAAGCAUCGCAGCCCCAAACUUUAAGAAACGACAACUUUGGUUUCUUGCCAAAACACAGUUCAUAAGGUGUCGUCUCAACGGAUUUUGAUGGUGCCCUAUUUAACGUGAAUGCGGUCGUCUCUAAACCAUAACCCCAAAACGAUAGCGGUAAAUCAGUAAGAGACAUCAUAGAUCGCACCAUAUCUAGUAUAGUACGAUUACGAUGCUCGGACACACCAUUUCGUUGUGGUGUUCCGGGUGGCGUGAGUUGUGAAACUAUUCCACAUUGUUUCAAAUGUAAACCAAACUCGUAACUCAAAUAUUCUCCUCCACGAUCAGAUCAUAGAAACUAUAUUUUCUUGUUACGAUGAUUUUCCACUUCACUCUGAAAUUCUUUGAACUUUUCAAAUGUUUCAGACUUGUGUUUCAUCAAGUAGAUAUACCCAUAUCUGCUCAAGUCAUCUGUGAAGGUGAGAAAAUAACGAUACCCGCCGCGAGCCUCAACAUUCAUUGGACCACAAACAUCAGUAUGUAUGAUUUCCAACAAAUCAGUUGCUCGCUCCAUAGUUCCGGAGAACAGCGUUUUAGUCAUCUUGCCCAUAAGGCACGGUUCGCAAGUACCAAGUGAUUCAUAAUCAAGUGAUUCCAAAAGCCCAUCAGUAUGGAGUUUCUUCAUGCGCUUUACACCGAUAUGACCUAAACGGCAGUGCCAUAAAUAGGUUGCACUAUCAUUAUCAACUCUGCAUCUUUUGGUUUCAACACUAUGAAUAUGUGUAUCACUACUAUCGAGAUUCAAUAAAAAAUAGACCACUCUUCAAGGGUGCAUGACCAUAAAAGAUAUUACUCAUAUAAAUAGAACAACCAUUAUUCUCUGAUUUAAAUGAAUAACCGUCUCGCAUCAAACAAGAUCCAGAUAUAAUGUUCAUGCUUAACACUGGCACCAAAUAACAAUUAUUUAGGUCUAAAACUAAUCCCGAUGGUAGAUGUAGAGGUAGUGUGCCGACCGCUAUCACAUCGACUUUGGAACCAUUUCCCACGCGCAUCGUCACCUCAUCCUCCAAUCUUCGCUUAAUCCGUAGUCCCUGUUUCGAGUUGCAAAUAUUAGCAACAGAACUAGUAUCAAAUACCCAUGUACUACUACGAGUAUUAGUAAGGUACACAUCAAUAACAUGUAUAUCACAUAUACCUUUGUUCACUUUGCCAUCCUUCUUAUCCGCCAAAUACUUGGGGCAGUUCCGCUUCCAGUGUCCAGUCUGCUUGCAGUAGAAGCACUCAGUUUCAGGCUUUGGUCCAGACUUGGGUUUCUUCUCUUGAGCAGAAACUUGUUUGCUGUUCUUCUUGAAGUUCCCCUUCUUUUUCCCUUUGCCCUUUUUCUUGAAACUAGUGGUCUUGUUAACCAUCAACACUUGAUGCUCCUUCUUGAUUUCUACCUCCGCGGAUUUUAGCAUUGCGAAGAGCUCGGGAAUAGUCUUGUCCAUCCCUUGCAUAUUAUAGUUCAUCACGAAGCUCUUGUAGCUUGGUGGCAGUGAUUGGAGAAUUCUGUCAAUGACACUAUCAUCAGGAAGAUUAACUCCCAGUUGAAUCAAGUGAUUAUUAUACCCCAGACAUUUUGAGUAUGUGUUCACUGACAGAACUAUUCUCCUCCAUUUUACAGCUGUAGAAUUUAUUGGAGACUUCAUAUCUCUCAAUCCGGGCAUUUGCUUGAAAUAUUAACUUCAACUCCUGGAACAUCUCAUAUGCCCCAUGACGUUCAAAACAUCGUUGAAGACCCGGUUCUAAGCCGUAAAGCAUGGCACACUGAACUAUCAAGUAGUCAUCAGCUUUGCUCUGCCAGACGUUCUUAACGUCCUCAGUUGCAUCAGCAGCAGGCCUGGCACCCAGCAGUGCUUCCAGGACGUAAUUCUUCUGUGCAGCAAUGAGGAUAAUCCUCAGGUUACGGACCCAGUCCGUGUAAUUGCUACCAUCAUCUUUCAACUUUGCUUUCUCAAGGAACGCAUUAAAAUUCAACGGAACAACAGCACGAGCCAUCUAUCUGCAACAAACAUAGACAAGCAAAAUACUAUCAGGUACUAAGUUCAUGAUAAAUUUAAGUUCAAUUAAUCGUAUUACUUAAGAACUCCCACUUAUACAGACAUCUCUCUAGUUAUCUAAGUGAUUACGUGAUCCAAAUCAACUAAACCAUGUCCGAUCAUCACAUGAGAUGGAGUAGUUUCAAUGGUGAACAUCACUAUGUUGAUCAUAUCUACUAUAUGAUUCACGUUCGACCUUUCGGUCUCCGUGUUCCGAGGCCAUAUCUGUAUAUGCUAGGCUCGUCAAGUUUAACCUGAGUAUUCCGCGUGUGCAACUGUUUUGCACCCGUUGUAUUUGAACGUAGAGCCUAUCACACCUGAUCAUCACGUGGUGUCUCAACACGAAGAACUUUCGCAACAGUGCAUACUCAGGGAGAACACUUCUUGAUAAUUAGUGAGAGAUCAUCUUAAAAUGCUACCGUCAAUCAAAGCAAGAUAAGAUGCAUAAAGGAUAAACAUCACAUGCAAUCAAUAUAAGUGAUAUGAUAUGGCCAUCAUCAUCUUGUGCUUGUGAUCUCCAUCUCCGAAGCACCGUCGUGAUCACCAUCGUCACCGGCGCGACACCUUUGAUCUCCAUCGUAGCAUCGUUGUCGUUACGCCAUCUAUUGCUUCUACGACUAUCGCUACUGCUUAGUGAUAAAGUAAAGCAAUUACAGGGCGUUUGCAUUUCAUACAAUAAAGCGACAACCAUAUGGCUCCUGCCAGUUGCCGAUAACUUCGGUUACAGAACAUGAUCAUCUCAUACAAUAAAAUAUAGCAUCACGUCUUGACCAUAUCACAUCACAACAUGCCCUGCAAAAACAAGUUAGACGUUCUCUACUUUGUUGUUGCAAAUUUUACGUGGCUGCUACGGGCUUAGCAAGAACCGUUCUUACCUACGCAUCAAAACCACAACGAUAGUUCGUCAAGUUAGUGUUGUUUUAACCUUCGCAAGGACCGGGCGUAGCCACACUCGGUUCAACUAAAGUUGGAGAAACUGACACCCGCUAGUCACCUGUGUGCAAAGCACGGCGGUAAAACCAGUCUCGCGUAAGCGUACGCGUAAUGUCGGUCCGGGCCGCUUCAUCCAACAAUACCGUUGAACCAAAGUAUGACUUGUAUCGCCCACAACUCACUUGUGUUCUACUCAUGCAUAUAACAUCAACGCAUAAAACCUAGGCUCUGAUACCACUGUUGGGGAACGUAGUAAUUUCAAAAAUUUCCUACGCACACGCAAGAUCAUGGUGAUGGCAUAACAACGAGAGGGGAGAGUGUUGUCCACGUACCCUCAUAGACCGUAAGCGGAAGCGUUAUGACAACGCGGUUGAUGUAGUCGUACGUCUUCACGAUCCGACCGAUCCAAGCACCGAACGUACGGCACCUCCGAGUUCAGCACACGUUCAGCUCGAUGAUGAUCCCCGGGCUCCGAUCCAGCAAAGCUUAAGGGAUGAGUUCCGUCAGCACGAUGGCAUGGUGACGAUGAUGAUGUUCUACCGGCGCAGGGCUUCGCCUAAACUCCGCAACGAUAUGACCGAGGUGGAAUAUAGUGGAGAGGGGCACUGCACACGUCUAAGGAACGAUCCGUAGAUCAACUUGUGUGUUCUAGGGUGCCCCCCUGCCCCCGUAUAUAAAGGAGCAAGGGGGGAGGCCGGCCGGCCCCUUGGGGCGCGCCAAGGAGGAGGAAUCCUCCUCCUAGUAGNNNNNNNNNNNNNNNNNNNNNNNNNNNNNNNNNNNNNNNNNNNNNNNNNNNNNNNNNNNNNNNNNNNNNNNNNNNNNNNNNNNNNNNNNNNNNNNNNNNNNNNNNNNNNNNNNNNNNNNNNNNNNNNNNNNNNNNNNNNNNNNNNNNNNNNNNNNNNNNNNNNNNNNNNNNNNNAACACUUCCGGUGUCCGAAUAUAGUCGUCCAAUAUAUCAAUCUUUAUGUCUCGACCAUUUCGAGACUCCUCGUCAUGUCCGUGAUCACAUCCGGGACUCCGAACAAACUUUGGUACAUCAAAACUUAUAAACUCAUAAUAAAACUGUCAUCGUAACGUUAAGCGUGCGGACCCUACGGGUUCGAGAACUAUGUAGACAUGACCUAGAACUAUUCUCGGUCAAUAACCAAUAGCGGAACCUGGAUGCCCAUAUUGAUUCCUACAUAUUCUACGAAGAUCUUUAUCGGUCAAACCGCAUAACAACAUACGUUGUUCCCUUUGUCAUCGGUAUGUUACUUGCCCGAGAUUUGAUCGUCGGUAUCCAAUACCUAGUUCAAUCUCGUUACUGGCAAGUCUCUUUACUCGUUACGUAAUGCAUCAUCCCGUAACCAACUCAUUGGUCACAUUGCUUGCAAGGCUUAUAGUGAUGUACAUUACCGAGAGGGCCCGGAGAUACCUCUCCGACAAUCGGAGUGACAAAACCUAAUCUCGAAAUACGCCAACUCAACAUGUACCUUCGGAGACACCUGUAGUACUCCUUUAUAAUCACCCAUUUACGUUGUGACGUUUGGUAGUACCCAAAGUGUUCCUCUGGUAAACGGGAGUUGCAUAAUCUCAUAGUUACAGGAACAUGUAUAAGUCAUGAAGAAAGCAAUAGCAAUAUACUAAACGAUCAAGUGCUAAGCUAACGGAAUGGGUCAUGUCAAUCACAUCAUUCUCCUAAUGAUGUGACCCUGUUAAUCAAAUGACAACACAUGUCUAUGGUUAGGAAACAUAACCAUCUUUGAUUAAUGAGCUAGUCAAGUAGAGGCGUACUAGUGACUAUAUGUUUGUCUAUGUAUUCACACAUGUAUCAUGUUUCCGGUUAAUACAAUUCUAGCAUGAAUAAUAAACAUUUAUCAUGAUAUGAGGAAAUAAAUAAUAACUUUAUUAUUGCCUCUAGGGCAUAUUUCCUUCAGUCUCCCACUUGCACUAGAGUCAAUAAUCUAGAUUACAUAGUAAUGAUUCUAACACCCAUGGAGUCUUGGUGCUGAUCAUGUUUUGCUCGUGAGAGAGGCUUAGUCAAUGGGUCUGCAACAUUCAGAUCCGUAUGUAUCUUGCAAAUUUCUAUGUCUCCCACUUGGACUUGGUCCCGGAUGGAAUUGAAGCGUCUCUUGAUGUGCUUGGUCCUCUUGUGAAAUCUGGAUUCCUUUGCCAAAGCAAUUGCACCAGUAUUGUCACAGAAGAUCUUCAUUGGUCCCGAUGCACUAGGUAUGACACCUAGAUUAGAAAUGAACUCCUUCAUCCAGACUCCUUCAUUUGCUGCUUCCGAAGCAGCUAUGUACUCCGCUUCACAUGUAGAUCCCGCCACGACGCUUUGUUUAGAACUGCACCAACUUACAGCUCCACCGUUUAAUAAAAACACGUAUCCGGUUUGCGAUUUAGAAUCGUCCGGAUCAGUGUCAAAGCUUGCAUCGACGUAACCAUUUACGACUAGCUCUUUGUCACCUCCAUAUAUGAGAAACAUAUCCUUAGUCCUUUUCAGGUAUUUUAGGAUGUUCUUGACCGCUGUCCAGUGAUCCACUCCUGGAUUACUUUGGUACCUCCCUGCCAAACUUAUUGCUAAGCAUACGUCAGGUCUGGUACACAGCAUUGCAUACAUGAUAGAGCCUAUGGCUGAAGCAUAGGGAAUAUCUUUCAUUUUCUCUCUAUCUUCUGCUGUGGUCAGGCAUUGAGUUUGACUCAACUUCACACCUUGAAGCACGGGCAAGAACCCUUUAUUUGCCUGAUCCAUUUUGAACUUUUUCAAAAUUUUAUCAAGGUAUGUACUUUGUGAAAGUCCUAUUAAGUGUCUUGAUCUAUCUCUAUAGAUCUUGAUGCCCAAUAUGUAAGCAGCUUCACCUAGAUCUUUCAUUGAAAAACUUUUAUUCAAGUAUCCCUUUAUGCUAUCCAGAAAUUCUAUAUCAUUUCCAAUUAAUAAUAUGUCAUCUACAUAUAAUAUCAGAAAUGCUACACAGCUCCCACUCACUUUCUUGUAAAUACAGGCUUCUCCAAAAGUCUGUAUAAAACCAUAUGCUUUGAUCACACUAUCAAAGCGUUUAUUCCAACUCCGAGAUGCUUGUACCAGUCCAUAAAUGGAUCGCUGGAGCUUGCACACUUUGUUAGCACCUUUUGGAUCAACAAAACCUUCUGGUUGCAUCAUAUACAACUCUUCUUCCAGAAAUCCAUUCAAGAAUGCAGUUUUGACAUCCAUUUGCCAGAUUUCAUAAUUAUGAAAUGGAGCAAUAUCUAACAUGAUUCGGACAGACUUAAGCAUCGCUACGGGUGAGAAAGUCUCAUCGUAGUCAACCCCUUGAACUUGUUGAAAACCUUUCGCAACAAGUCGAGCUUUAUAGACAGUUACAUUACCAUCAGCGUCAGUCUUCUUCUUAAAGAUCCAUUUAUUCUCAAUGGCUUGCCGAUCAUCGGGCAAGCCAACCAAAGUCCAUACUUUGUUCUCAUACAUGGAUCCCAUCUCAGAUUUCAUGGCCUCUAGCCAUUUUGCGGAAUCUGGGCUCAUCAUCGCUUCCUCAUAGUUCGUAGGUUCAUCAUGGUCAAGUAACAUGAUUUCCAGAAUAGGAUUACCGUACCACUCUGGUGAGGAUCUUACUCUGGUAGACCUACGACGUUCAGUAGAAACUUGAUUUGAAGUUUCAUGAUCAAUAUCAUUAGCUUCCUCACUAAUUGGUGUAGUUGUCACAGGAACCGGUUCUUGUGAUGAACUACUUUCCAACAAGGGAGUAGAUACAGUUAUCUCAUCAAGUUCUACUUUCCUCCCACUCAUUUCUUUCGAGAGAAACUCCUUCUCUAGAAAGGAUCCGACUUUAGCAACAAAAAUCUUGUCCUCAGAUCUGUGAUAGAAGGUGUACCCAAUGGUCUCUUUUGGGUAUCCUAUGAAGACACAUUUCUCCGAUUUAGGUUCGAGCUUAUCUGGUUGAAGUUUCUUCACAUAAGCAUCGCAGCCCCAAACUUUAAGAAACGACAACUUUGGUUUCUUGCCAAACCACAGUUCAUAAGGUGUCGUCUCAACGGAUUUUGAUGGUGCCCUAUUUAACGUGAAUGCGUCCGUCUCUAAAGCAUAACCCCAAAACGAUAGCGGUAAAUCAGUAAGAGACAUCAUAGAUCGCACCAUAUCUAGUAUAGUACGAUUACGACGUUCGGACACACCAUUUCGUUGUGGUGUUCCGGGUGGCGUGAGUUGUGAAACUAUUCCACAUUGUUUCAAAUGUAAACCAAACUCGUAACUCAAAUAUUCUCCUCCACGAUCAGAUCAUAGAAACUUUAUUUUCUUGUUACGAUGAUUUUCCACUUCACUCUGAAAUUCUUUGAACUUUUCAAAUGUUUCAGACUUGUGUUUCAUCAAGUAGAUAUACCCAUAUCUGCUCAAGUCAUCUAUGAAGGUGAGAAAAUAAUGAUACCCGCCGCGAGCCUCAACAUUCAUUGGACCACAAACAUCAGUAUGUAUGAUUUCCAACAAAUCAGUUGCUCGCUCCAUAGUUCCGGAGAACGGUGUUUUAGUCAUCUUGCCCGUAAGGCACGGUUCGCAAGUACCAAGUGAUUCAUAAUCAAGUGAUUCCAAAAGCCCAUCAGUAUGGAGUUUCUUCAUGCGCUUUACACCGAUAUGACCUAAACGGCAGUGCCAUAAAUAGGUUGCACUAUCAUUAUCAACUCUGCAUCUUUUGGUUUCAACACUAUGAAUAUGUGUAUCACUACUAUCGAGAUUCAAUAAAAAUAGACCACUCUUCAAGGGUGCAUGACCAUAAAAGAUAUUACUCAUAUAAAUAGAACAACCAUUAUUCUCUGAUUUAAAUGAAUAACCGUCUCGCAUCAAACAAGAUCCAGAUAUAAUGUUCAUGCUUAACGCUGGCACCAAAUAACAAUUAUUUAGGUCUAAAACUAAUCCCGAUGGUAGAUGUAGAGGUAGUGUGCCGACCGCGAUCACAUCGACUUUGGAACCAUUUCCCACGCGCAUCGUCACCUCUUCCUUAGCCAAUCUUCGCUUAAUCCGUAGUCCCUGUUUCGAGUUGCAAAUAUUAGCAACAGAACCAGUAUCAAAUACCCAGGUACUACUACGAGUAUUAGUAAGGUACACAUCAAUAACAUGUAUAUCACAUAUACCUUUGUUCACUUUGCCAUCCUUCUUAUCCGCCAAAUACUUGGGGCAGUUCCGCUUCCAGUGUUCAGUCUGCUUGCAGUAGAAGCACUCAGUUUCAGGCUUUGGUCCAGACUUGGGUUUUUUCUCUUGAGCAGCAACUUGUUUGCUAUUCUUCUUGAAGUUCCCCUUCUUUUUCCCUUUGCCCUUUUUCUUGAAACUAGUGGUCUUGUUAACCAUCAACACUUGAUGCUCCUUCUUGAUUUCUACCUCCGCGGCUUUUAGCAUUGCGAAGAGCUCGGGAAUAGUCUUGUCCAUCCCUUGCAUAUUAUAGUUCAUCACGAAGCUCUUUUAGCUUGGUGGCAGUGAUUGGAGAAUUCUGUCAAUGACACUAUCAUCAGGAAGAUUAACUCCCAGUUGAAUCAAGUGAUUAUUACACCCAGACAUUUUGAGUAUGUGUUCACUGACAAAACUAUUCUCCUCCAUCUUACAGCUAUAGAAUUUAUUGGAGACUUCAUAUCUCUCAAUCCGGGCAUUUGCUUGAAAUAUUAACUUCAACUCCUGGAACAUCUCAUAUGCCCCAUGACGUUCAAAACGUCGUUGAAGACCCGGUUCUAAGCCGUAAAGCAUGGCACACUGAACUAUCAAGUAGUCAUCAGCUUUGCUCUGCCAGACGUUCUUAACGUUGUCAGUUGCAUCAGCAGCAGGCCUGGCACCCAGCGGUGCUUCCAGGACGUAAUUCUUCUGUGCAGCAAUGAGGAUAAUCCUCAGGUUACGGACCCAGUCCGUGUAAUUGCUACCAUCAUCUUUCAACUUUGCUUUCUCAAGGAACGCAUUAAAAUUCAACCGAACAACAGCACGAGCCAUCUAUCUACAACAAACAUAGACAAGCAAAAUACUAUCAGGUACUAAGUUCAUGAUAAAUUUAAGUUCAAUUAAUCAUAUUACUUAAGAACUCCCACUUAGACAGACAUCUCUCUAGUUAUCUAAGUGAUUACGUGAUCCAAAUCAACUAAACCAUGUCCGAUCAUCACAUGAGAUGGAGUAGUUUCAAUGGUGAACAUCACUAUGUUGAUCAUAUCUACUAUAUGAUUCACGUUCGACCUUUCGGUCUCCGUGUUCCGAGGCCAUAUCUGUAUAUGCUAGGCUCGUCAAGUUUAACCUGAGUAUUCCGCGUGUGCAACUGUUUUGCACCCGUUGUAUUUGAACGUAGAGCCUAUCACACCUGAUCAUCACGUGGUGUCUCAGCACGAAGAACUUUCGCAACGGUGCAUACUCAGGGAGAACACUUCUUGAUAAUUAGUGAGAGAUCAUCUUAAAAUGCUACCGUCAAUCAAAGCAAGAUAAGAUGCAUAAAGGAUAAACAUCACAUGCAAUCAAUAUAAGUGAUAUGAUAUGGCCAUCAUCAUCUUGUGCUUGUGAUCUCCAUCUCCGAAGCACCGUCGUGAUCACCAUCGUCACCGGCGCGACACCUUUGAUCUCCAUCGUAGCAUCGUUGUCGUUACGCCAUCUAUUGCUUCUACGACUAUCGCUACUGCUUAGUGAUAAAGUAAAGCAAUUACAGGGCGUUUGCAUUUCAUACAAUAAAGCGACAACCAUAUGGCUCCUGCCAGUUGCCGAUAACUUCGGUUACAGAACAUGAUCAUCUCAUACAAUAAAAUAUAGCAUCACGUCUUGACCAUAUCACAUCACAACAUGCCCUGCAAAAACAAGUUAGACGUUCUCUACUUUGUUGUUGCAAAUUUUACGUGGCUGCUACGGGCUUAGCAAGAACCGUUCUUACCUACGCAUCAAAACCACAACGAUAGUUCGUCAAGUUAGUGUUGUUUUAACCUUCGCAAGGACCGGGCGUAGCCACACUCGGUUCAACUAAAGUUGGAGAAACUGACACCCGCUAGUCACCUGUGUGCAAAGCACGGCGGUAAAACCAGUCUCGCGUAAGCGUACGCGUAAUGUCGGUCCGGGCCGCUGCAUCCAACAAUACCGUUGAACCAAAGUAUGACAUGCUGGUAAGCAGUAUGACUUGUAUCGCCCACAACUCACUUGUGUUCUACUGGUGCAUAUAACAUCAACGCAUAAAACCUAGGCUCUGAUACCACUGUUGGGGAAUGUAGUAAUUUCAAAAAUUUCCUACGCACACGCAAGAUCAUGGUGAUGGCAUAACAACGAGAGGGGAGAGUGUUGUCCAUGUACCCUCGUAGACCGUAAGCGGAAGCGUUAUGACAACGCGGUUGAUGUAGUCGUACGUCUUCACGAUCCGACCGAUCCAAGCACCGAACGUACGGCACCUCCGAGUUCAGCACACGUUCAGCUCGAUGAUGAUCCCCGGGCUCCGAUCCAGCAAAGCUUCGGGGAUGAGUUCCGUCAGCACGAUGGCAUGGUGAUGAUGAUGAUGUUCUACCGGCGCAGGGCUUCGCCUAAACUCCGCGACGAUAUGACCGAGGUGGAAUAUAGUGGAGAGGGGCACUGCACACGGCUAAGGAACGAUCCGUAGAUCAACUUGUGUGUUCUAGGGUGCCCCCUGUCCCCGUAUAUAAAGGAGCAAGGGGGAGGCCGGCCGGCCCCUUGGGGCGCGCCAAGGAGGAGGAAUCCUCCUCCUAGUAGGAGUAGGAUUCCUCCUUUCCUACUCCUACUAGGAGGGGGAAGGAAGGGGGAGAGGGGGGGAGGAAAGGGGGGCGCCGCCCCCCCCCCCCUCCUAGUCCAAUUCGGACCAGAGGGAGAGGGGCGCGCGGCCCACCCUGGCCGCCCCUCUCUCUUCCCACCAAGGCCCAUGUGGCCCAUUAACUCUCCCGGGGGGUUCCGGUAACCGCCCCGGCACUCCGGUUUUCUCUUAAAUCACCCGGAACAAUUCCGGUGUCCGAAUAUUGUCGUCCAAUAUAUCAAUCUUUAUGUCUCGACCAUUUCGAGACUCCUCGUCAUGUCCGUGAUCACAUCCGGGACUCCGAACAAACUUCACUACAUCAAAACUUGUAAACUCAUAAUAAAACUGUCAUCGUAACGUUAAGCGUGCGGACCCUACGGGUUCGAGAACUAUGUAGACAUGACCUAGAACUAUUCUCGGUCAAUAACCAAUAGCGGAACCUGGAUGCCCAUAUUGAUUCCUACAUAUUCUACGAAGAUCUUUAUCGGUCAAACCGCAUAACAAAAUACGUUGUUCCCUUUGUCAUCGGUAUGUUACUUGCCCGAGAUUUGAUCGUCGGUAUCCAAUACCUAGUUCAAUCUCGUUACUGGCAAGUCUCUUUACUCAUUACGUAAUGCAUCAUCCCGUAACCAACUCAUUGGUCACAUUGCUUGCAAGGCUUAUAGUGAUGUACAUUACCGAGAGGGCCCGGAGAUACCUCUCCGACAAUCGGAGUGACAAAACCUAAUCUCGAAAUAUGCCAACUCAACAUGUACCUUCGGAGACACCUGUAGUACUCCUUUAUAAUCACCCAUUUACGUUGUGACGUUUGGUAGUACCCAAAGUGUUCCUCCGGUAAACGGGAGUUGCAUAAUCUCAUAGUUACAGGAACAUGUAUAAGUCAUGAAGAAAGCAAUAGCAAUAUACUAAACGAUCAAGUGCUAAGCUAACGAAAUGGGUCAUGUCAAUCACAUCAUUCUCCUAAUGAUGUGAUCCUGUUAAUCAAAUGACAACACAUGUCUAUGGUUAGGAAACAUAACCAUCUUUGAUUAAUGAGCUAGUCAAGUAGAGGCGUACUGUGACUAUAUGUUUGUCUAUGUAUUCACACAUGUAUCAUGUUUCCGGUUAAUACAAUUCUAGCAUGAAUAAUAAACAUUUAUCAUGAUAUGAGGAAAUAAAUAAUAACUUUAUUAUUGCCUCUAGGGCAUAUUUCCUUCACCUAGUAGGGGGGCGCGCCCUCCACCCUCGUGGCUUCCUCGAUUGCUUCUUGACUUGCACUCCAAGUCCUCUGGGUCACAUUUGUUCCAAAAAUCACGCUCCCAAAGGUUUCAUUCUGUUUGGACUCCGUUUGGUAUUCCUUUUCUUCGAAACACUGAAAUAGGCAAAAAUCAGCAAUACGGGCUGGGCCUCCGGUUAGUAGGUUAGUCCCAAAAAUGAUAUAAAUGUGUAAAGUAAAGCCCAUAAACAUCCAAAACGGGUAAUAUAAUAGCGUGGAACAAUCAAAAAUUAUAGAUACGUUGGAGACGUAUUAGUGCCUCAGCGAUAUUCUUUUCAGUGUGCAUCACAUUGAUGUUGUGUGGGCAAAGAAGGUCUUUAAAGUAAGACAGAUCACACAAGUAUGCCUUGUGAGUCCAGGCAUGUUUCGAAUUAUACCCCUUGAAAUACCGUGGAUGCUCUGGAUCUAGCUCAAGAGCGUUUAAUGGAUCCAGGAUCUCUUGGCCUAUCAACGCAGGUGGUGCAGAGUUUUUGACAACUCUACCUUUGAUGCAGUUCUUCUUGUCUUUCAUGAACUGAUGGCGAGGAUCCAGGAGCUGUCUAUGCAAGUCGAAGCAAGAAAACUUGCAACCGGCCUGCAGCCAACGAAACUCAAGAGCUACCUUGCAUGUGGGGCACGGGAACCUUCCAUGCACACACCAGCCAACGAAUAGCGCAUACGCCGGCAAGUCAUGCAUCAAGUACAUGUACUAGACACGCAUUAUGAAGUUUUGUUUGCUUAAGGCAUCGUAUGUCUUGAACCCAUUAUCCCAAGCUUCUUGCAAUUCAUCCUUAAGCGGCUGCAUGUACACAUUCAUAUUCUUCCCUGUAUAGUUGGGCCCUAGAAUUAUGAACGUCAGGAAAAUGUUCUUUCUUUGCAUUAUCUGUCCGGGGAGGGAGAUUAAGUGGAAUGACAAAUACGGGCCAACAAUUGUAUUGGGCUGCCGUCAGACCAAACACACUGAACCGAUCCAUGCUGAUGGCGACUCGAGGAUGCCUUGGAUCUGCCGCUUUUUUCACAUGUAAUGCAUCGAAGCGCUUCCAUGCUUCACCAUCCGAUGUGUGCACCAUCAUCAGAUUCCCAUCUGCAUAUAGUUCAGUUCUUUUGCCCGUUUUGUGCCAUGUCAUCUGUCUGGCCGUCUCUUCGACCAUGAAAAGACGUUGAAGUCUUGGUACGAUUGGCAUAUACCGAAGAACAUUAACGGGGAUUUUUGUCUGCGUCUUCUCACCCAUACCGUUGUCUACCACAACAUACCUAGAUGACUUGCAAAUGGGACAAUAGUUCAAGUCCGCAUACUCAAGCCUAAAUAAGGCACAUCCUUUCUCAUAGGCAUGUAUCUUCUCAUAGGGCAUCUUAAGAGCACAAAGGAUUUUGUUUGGCUGGUACAGGUUUGCAAGCGGUACAUGGCCUUUGGGUAGAAAGCGUCCAAAUAUUGUCAUCAUCGCGUCGUAGCAUUCUCUGCCCAAGUUGAAUUGAGCCUUCGGAGCCAUUAUUUGUGAGGUGGCAUCCAGCUGACAAAGCUCAGUGUGCUCGUGGAGAGGACGUUUUGAAGACUCCAACAUAUCAUUGAAGGCCUUUGCAGAUUCCUCCAUCUCAUCGUCUGAAUCCGAGCAUCAUCAAAGUCUUCCACCAUGUCUUCCAUCCAGGUACCAUGCUCGUCGGUGCGACGAUGAACCACCUCGGCUCUGGCACAUUGGGCAGACUCACCAUGAAAAGUCCAGACCAUAUAGGCAGGCGUGAAACCCCACUUUUGUAGGUGUUUACUCAUUUCAAGCUCGUUCCUCUUAUGAUAGUCAUCGCAUCGGACACAAGGGCACCAGGUUUUUUCUGACCAUUUGCAAAUGUGGCUCUCACAAACCCCUUGGUUUUUGUUAACCAUUCAUUGGUCAUGUCUUCCUGACUAGUGCGACCAGUGUACAUCCAUGCACAAUCACUCAUAUUGCCUAGCUACUAGACACACAAGAAAUAUAUACAUAAUUCAGCAAACCAUAUUCAUCAGUUAAUGGAGGUUGUCAGUUUUAUUACAUCCACGCAACCUAGACGCUAAUAGGUAAAGAUAGGUCUUAAUCCCACCUGAGUAUGUGUAGAUUGGGUUCAUUUUCCCAUGCUCUGCUCCGGAUCUGACGCAAAAUUUCGGCAGCACCUCCCCGUUGUUCUCCUGAUACAUGUCUCGGCAAUAAGCAGAGAGAAUGUUUACCUAGAGAACAACAGGGAGGCACUGACGAAAUUCUGCACCGGAUCCGGAGCAGAGCAUAUGGGAAAACGAAGCCAAUCUCCACAUACUCGGGUUGUCCAUGGAUAACGUUGGACAAUUCGAAAGAAUCACGGUUAUAAAUAUGCAAAUGCAUGCAUAUUUAUAGAUGAAACUCUUUCGAACGGGAGAUGCAUAGUGGUCACGGAUACUGAUGACUGAAGACACCUAUAGUUAGCAAGUUUCAUCGGCACGAAGACCGAAACAGAGCAAAAAAAAGGGGGGACAUGUCAUUUAUGCUCACCCAUGAACGCAGGGGCAGAGUUCGUCCAACGCACGGGGAGGUCGUCGAACACCAGCCCUCGCAGCGACGAAACAACUACACAUUUAAAUCCACCCGAUCAACACACAAAUAUGAUGUUUUUAUAACAAAAUCGAAAAAUAUAUGACCUAACUCAUAAUUCAAAAAUAUAUGACCCCGUCGGCCUCUAGAAGGUCGAAGAGCACCUUUUCGGUCAACAGGAGGCCGAAGAGGUGUCGGGGGUCGGGGGUGUCGGGGGGUGCCGUGUCUGGGUGUCGUGGAGUCGGGGUGUCAUGGUGNNNNNNNNNNNNNNNNNNNNNNNNNNNNNNNNNNNNNNNNNNNNNNNNNNNNNNNNNNNNNNNNNNNNNNNNNNNNNNNNNNNNNNNNNNNNNNNNNNNNNNNNNNNNNNNNNNNNNNNNNNNNNNNNNNNNNNNNNNNNNNNNNNNNNNNNNNNNNNNNNNNNNNNNNNNNNNNNNNNNNNNNNNNNNNNNNNNNNNNNNNNNNNNNNNNNNNNNNNNNNNNNNNNNNNNNNNNNNNNNNNNNNNNNNNNNNNNNNNNNNNNNNNNNNNNNNNNNNNNNNNNNNNNNNNNNNNNNNNNNNNNNNNNNNNNNNNNGGCAGGGCGGCAGUGGUGAUGGGGCAACGGGGCCAGGGGGCAGGGCGGUGGGGCGUGGGGGGGGCGGCGCCGAGCCGGCAGGGCGGCGGGGGCGACGGGGCCGCGGGGUGGUGGGACGACGGGACGGCGGCGGGUGGUAGGGGUGACGGUGGUCAUCAGGGAGGGAGAGAGAGAGAAACAGAGAGAGGGGGACGGGAUGGGGCGCGGCCAUUAGUUAACUUACAUGUUUGCCGUCUGCCCCGCCUUUGUCGUCUGCCGUUUUUUUCUUUGCCAUCUGCUAGCAGACGGCAAAGAGGGGGGCGUUAGGGUUUGCUAGUUAGUGGGCCAACCUCCCUCUUUGCAAAUAUGAUCUUUGCCAUCAGCUAGUUCUUUGCCAUCUGUUUUUUGGAAGCUGACGGCAAACCCAUCCUUUGUCGUCUGCUAGCAGAGGGCAAAGAAGUGGCUGGUGGCAAAUCCUCUGAUUCCAGUAGUGCUUGGUAAGGUUUUUAUGGGAACUUUGAAGGACAAACAAAAUGUGGCCAUCAAGAAGUCCAUCGAGCUUGAGGAUGAGAGUAAGAGGGAAUUCAUUGAAUAAGGUUAUAAUCUAGUCAGGUAAAUGGGAAGAAGUAUGAGUUUGCAAUGAGUGGAAGUCUGCUCUUUUGAAGGCAGAGAUAACAUUCUGGUGCAUACACACUUGAAGAUAGUUUUAGCAUACAUGCAUUCAGCUAUGGUGGAGAGUAACGUCCAACAUGGUGAUGUCAAAUCUGGCCAUUUUACAAAAAUAUCUCUGUAAUGGCUUUGUAUGUGCCCUCAUCAUGUUUCUUGAUGAUGUCAAUACACUCUUUUGCUUAGUUCUUAUAUUCAUUUUUCUGGACCAUGUUGAAACUAUUGACAAACCCUUUUGAUUACUUCUUUUCUUAAUGUUCAUGCGAAUCGGUAUCCUCCCUACGAAGGAUCAUACAUGUGCUAUGUUGGCAGGAAAGAGCAUUAAGGCAAUGCUCGUCUUUGUUCUUCCAUAGGAAUAGAAAGGCCAAAGUUUUGGCUCUUGAUUGAUAGACUAGAGUCGUAUAUAGCCCAGUUCCUUUGGCAGGUUGAAAAAUACACCGCCCCAUCCCUACCUUCUCCCAUAAACCGCUUUCUCAAUUUGUUGAGGCUCCAACGAAUGGCUGUGGCGGCUUAUUUUUCAAGUUGGGUAGGGGGGCACAUUUUUACAAGCCACUAAAAGAACCAGGGCUAAGUGCUAGCCAUGAACCUUGUGGACCAUCCCAUCAAGACAGUGAAGGGAAAGGUCUCAUUGGUAAAAAAAGAACCAAUAACCUUACCUGUGGUUGGAAGAACUAGGAAAAGGAGAAACAUAGUGGUAAUUUUUUUUUGUCGCGUAAGUAAAUGUGUAGCUACAAAUAUGAAAAGUUGUUGCUUCUUUUUUUGGAAUUUGCAAUAAUGCGACGAACAAAUGACGAAAAUUAAACCUCGGGACUCCCAUCCUAGAGUAUGAAAGCUCUCGGGGGAACGGAUCAACCAAAUUCUCUCUCCGGCCUCUCAUUUCCUGUAACAAACCAAGCAUGCUCUAAAGUCCGCCCUUGUUGCCAUGUUGGUGGAUCAAGCCUGGCGUUCACUUCUGUCGUGUUGGAUGGUGGUGGUAAUAGUAAUCUUGUGUUGCUUCAAAAAAGGCAGGCUACAAAAGAAAUAUUGGGGUUCCUUUUGCCUCCCCCGGUUCACGUUGUCUCCGGUUGUCUUAGGGUCAUGGGGUGCGGUGGAUCAUGACCCUUGCCUGUUGGAGGGCUCUGUUUUUAGAUGUUCUUUCGAGUUUUGUUAGGGUUUAUGUCCUGCUCAAGAAGACGAGACAGCGGCGGCUCCCUGAAGAUGGAAUAAGGUUCUCCCUGCCUAGGCCCCAUCCCGGUGGUGCGCCUAGUAUCGUCUGUGGGUAUGUGGAGGUGUAUCUCCAGCAGAUCCGUCUUUAGUGGAUUUGCUCGGAUGUGAUUGCCGUUCGUCUACGUUUAUGUGUCUUGAGGUUGGAUCAUUUCGAGCUACGCUACUCUUCAUCGGUGGCGGUUAUUGUUCUGUUGUGCCGGUUCUAUAGGGCCUUAGCAUGACGACUUUCCGACUGUCUACUAUAACAAUUUUGUUCGGCUCCUGCAAGGGAGGGCGAUGACCACGGCGUGCCUUUGGCUCACUUCAAUGCUUUAGUCAUCGCUAGGUCGUCUACGGAGCUGGAUAUAGUUUUUAUUAUUUCUGACGUUCAUUGUAAUGCCAUGAUUAAGAUGAAAAGAUAGGAAGUAUUUCCGCAAGUUAUCUUAGCUUUAUUUAUCAUUGGUCGAAAUGCUAUUAUCGACCGCAAAUUUGAAUUCGUAAGGUAUGUUCUUUACCGCAACUUGCAGGGCGAAUUUGGAUUGGGAUCUUUUCACAUUUUGCACGAUGGGAUUUCUUUUUACACAUUUUGGAUCAAAGCAAUGAGAUAGUACACUUCUAUGGGUUGUUCCAGCCUCUGCUAGUUUCUUUUUUCUUUUCUACAACAGGUGCUUGGUUCAAAAAAAACUUAUGAGUUGAUUUCGUCCUCAGCUACGGAUUGGGUGCCUGGCACUAAAGCAUCUAUAGAUUGAGGAUUUUUCUAAGGAGUGGAGAUUCCUUUUUUCUUUUUUGCUUUUCUCUUACACAUGGCAUUUUGUAUCAAAGGAAUGUGGUACUAACGUAGCUUGCUUAAGGGCGUCUUUUGUUGGCAUGCACGUACAUAGUGGCUACAAAUGACCUGAAGGGACUGAUUGAGUAAUUGGAUGCAUUUUCUAAGGCACAGAAGUAAAAAAAAAGAAUAAGAAAAAGCAAAGAUAUUAAGCUUUGCUAUGGCUCAAUAAAACCUUCAGCUUGUUAAUUUCUGUGUGCCAAACAAAUUGGUGUAGCCAGUUUACAGAAAUUAGAUAUGGAAGGCUUUUUAUCUUCACAAGAAUUUGUCUUCACCCCAUCCUCUUAUUAUUAUUGCACUCAUUCUACGAACCCCCACCCCACCAUAAAUAAAAUUACUCUGCCACUAUGUGGACGUGACAAUCCUAUGGGCCAAAAAAUGAUCACCCUAGAGGUCCAAAAUUGCAAGGAGAAAACAACCAUUGCAGAUUCCUGUCUAUGCCUUCUGCUUGGACUUCUGCUUCUUCAGCUCCAACGACGCGUCUAUGCCUUCUGCUUGGACUUCUGCUUCUUCAGCUCCAACGACGCACCUAAUCCUACUGGAGCUUGACCGUCAGCCUUGGCGGACGGCCGACUUGUAUCCUUGGCCUCCUUUGCGCCAUUCAUGGCAGGACCGUUGGACUGCGGCACUUCAGAUUCGGUUGACUGAGCAUUGCCGGAAGAAGCAGCAGACGCGGAAGCAGCAGAGUUGAUGAGGUUGAGAAUUUGAUUGAUGUCAGAAACACUCGCAGCAGGCCCGUUGCGCAGAUUAACACCCCUGGCAAUGGCCGUUUUUCGGGCUUCUGCGGCCGCCUUGGCAGCGCGCUCAUCGCCUCCCCUUACUCUGUUGACAUUUGCUGGUCCAUCACCACCAGAUUGGAUCGCAGCUGCCUUCAUUGCUUGGAACAAUCCAGGAUGAGCCUGCCAG
rnacentral:lncRNA from 1 species